rnacentral:misc_RNA from 1 species
CCGAAUUGUCGACACGAGUUGUUGCUGGUCCUCAAAUGGGGGCACGUGCACGCUCUGUUUGCACAUCCACUCACACCUGUGCACCCUCUGUAGUUCUAUGGCUUAGGGGACUCUGUCCCCCUGCUGUGGUUCUAUAUCUUUACACACACUCUGUAAUAAAGUCUCAUGGAAUGCAUACCGCGUUUAACGCAAUACAAUA